GACAGAGGGUGCAAACGUUGCUCGGAAUUACUGGGCGUAAAGGGCGUGUAGGCGGGAAGGCAAGUCGGGCGUGAAAGCCCAGGCUCAACCUGGGAACUGCACUCGAAACUGCCUUUCUUGAGUGCCGGAGAGGAAAGCGGAAUUCCUGGUGUAGAGGUGAAAUUCGUAGAUAUCAGGAGGAACACCAGUGGCGAAGGCGGCUUCCUGGACGGUAAAGCUGACGUCU
rnacentral:rRNA from 1 species